rnacentral:misc_RNA from 1 species
AAGUCGUAACAAGGUUUCCGUAGGUGAACCUGCGGAAGGAUCAUUACAAAUCCCAUUUGAUUCCUAUCUGUUGAAAUGUGAAAAAGUGAGAGAGAGAGAGCGAGGGGUGGUGGUUAGGGUUCGUGAUUGGUUAGGGUUAGGGUUUAGGUCAGGUUUUGUUAUAAAAUACACAACCAUUCUAAUGACUUGUACGAUUCCAUCCCUAUACACACACUCGCGUUUCUCUUCUUCAUCACCUCACCUGCUUUCUCACUUUUCUUUUCAUUCUUUUUUGUUGAUCUAUUUUAAAUAUUUCGAUGACACACACUUUACACAACUUGUGACAAUGGAUCUCUAGGCUCUU